UGCUAUUUUGUAUAUGACCACCGUAGGAAAGGGCCGCGGAAUUUCUCUGGAGAUAUAUUUUUCGUAUCUCCGGCGCAGCCUGAGAACCUUCCCCAGGUUCACAGAGAGCAAAAAGUGGGGAGACAACGGAUAGUCCCGUAUUCCAGCCGUAACUAUGGCGUAGUGGCUGUACUACGAGUACCGGGUGCCGAAGUGAAAACGUGAAACGUGCGCCUGGGAAGUACGGUCGCAAGGCUGAAACUAAAGGAAUUGGCGGGGAGCACCACAACGGGUGGAGCUGCGGUUAAUUGGACUCAACGCCGGGCAGCUCACCGGAUAGGACAGCGGAAUGAUAGCCGGGCUGAAGACCUUGCUUGACCAGCUGAGAGGAGGUGCAUGGCCGUCGUCAGUUCGUACUGUGAAGCAUCCUGUUUAGUCAGGCAACGAGCGAGACCCACGCCAACAGUUGAUAGCAUGUUCUCCGGAAUGAUGAAGACAUUUAAUGAGAACGCCUCUGCUAAAGAGGAGGAAGGAAUGGGCAACGGUAGGUCAGCAUGCCCCGAAUUAUCCGGGCAAAACGCGGGCUACAAUGGUCAGGACAAUGGGAAACGGCACUGAAAAGUGUAGUCAAUCUCCUAAACCUGUCCCAAGUUCGGAUUGUGGGCUGCAACUCGCCCACAUGAAGCUGGAAUCCGUAGUAAUCGCGUUUCAAAAUAGCGCGGGAAUAAUCCUGCCCCUGCACACCAGUAAUCUAGGGUCCGCGAAUGCCUAGCUCGAAUCACGGCGUGUACACG
rnacentral:rRNA from 1 species